rnacentral:rRNA from 1 species
UAAACUUGGAUUAGAUACCCUAUUAUUAUAGAGCUAAUAUAUUGUUAGUAAGUAAAUAUUAUGAAAACAAAAAAUUAUGGCGGUACUUUAAGCUUUUCAGAGGAAUUUGCUCUUUAAUGGAUAAAACACCUGAAUUNUUACUAAAAUUAGUUUAAAUCCAGUUUGUAUACCACUAUUAAAAUAAUAAUUUAUAAUUAUUAUUUUGAUUUUAAAAUUAAAAAUUAAUUUAAGUCAUGGCGCAAAAAAAAUUUUAAAAUGAAGUGAAUUACUUUUCUUUUUAGAAAUCUAAAUUGAAAAAAUUUAAUAGGAUUUGAAAGUAAAAAUAUAAUAGAAUGAUGUUUUGAAUAAAGUUCUAAAGUAUGUCCAUAUCCCCCGUCUCUCUUUA